rnacentral:rRNA from 1 species
GACGAACGCUGGCGGCGUGCUUAACACAUGCAAGUCGAACGAAGUGGCGAACGGGUGAGUAAUACGUGUGUAACCUGCCCUCCUUUUUGGGAUAAGCCUUGGAAACGGGGUCUAAUACCGAAUAAAGGGGGAUGGGCUCGCGGCCUAUCGGCUUGUUGGUGGGGUGAUGGCCUACCAAGGCGGUGACGGGUAGCCGGCCUGAGAGGGUGACCGGCGACAGUGGGAAUGGGAUACGUCCCAGACGCGUACGGAGGGGGGCAGUGGGGGAUAUUGGACGAUGGGGGAAAGACUGAUGCAGCGUGGGCGCGUGAGGGAUGAAGGCUGUCGGGUUGUGGAGCUAAGUCGCUAUCGAAGGGGUAGGUAAAGAAAAAGCGACGGCUAACUACGUGCCAGCAGCCGCGGUAAUAC